GAUGAAGAACGCAGCGAAAUGCGAUAAGUAAUGUGAAUUGCAGAAUUCAGUGAAUCAUCGAAUCUUUGAACGCACCUUGCGCCCUUUGGCUAUUCCGAAGGGCAUGCCUGUUUGAGUAUCGUGAACACCUCAACUCUCAUGGUUUGCCAUGAUGAGCUUGGACUUUGGGGGUUUUGCUGGCCUUUGGUCGGCUCCUCUCAAACGGAUCAGCUUUCCAGUGUUUGGUGGCGUCACGGGUGUGAUAACUAUCUACGCCUGUGGUUUUCUGCCAGAUAACCUUAAGCGAUGGAGGUUCGCUGGGGCUCAUAAAUGUCUCUCUUCAGUGGAGACAGCUUUUUGGACGUUUGAUCUCAAAUCAGGUAGGACUACCCGCUGAACUUAAGCAUAUCAAUAAGCGGAGGA
rnacentral:misc_RNA from 1 species